UUAGUAACGGCGAGUGAAGCGGCAAAAGCUCAAAUUUGAAAUCUGGUACCUUCGGUGCCCGAGUUGUAAUUUGGAGAGGGCAACUUUGGGGCCGUUCCUUGUCUAUGUUCCUUGGAACAGGACGUCAUAGAGGGUGAGAAUCCCGUGUGGCGAGGAGUGCGGUUCUUUGUAAAGUGCCUUCGAAGAGUCGAGUUGUUUGGGAAUGCAGCUCUAAGUGGGUGGUAAAUUCCAUCUAAAGCUAAAUAUUGGCGAGAGACCGAUAGCGAACAAGUACAGUGAUGGAAAGAUGAAAAGAACUUUGAAAAGAGAGUGAAAAAGUACGUGAAAUUGUUGAAAGGGAAGGGCAUUUGAUCAGACAUGGUGUUUUGUGCCCUCUGCUCCUUGUGGGUAGGGGAAUCUCGCAUUUCACUGGGCCAGCAUCAGUUUUGGUGGCAGGAUAAAUCCAUAGGAAUGUAGCUUGCCUCGGUAAGUAUUAUAGCCUGUGGGAAUACUGCCAGCUGGGACUGAGGACUGCGACGUAAGUCAAGGAUGCUGGCAUAAUGGUUAUAUGCCGCCCGUCUUGAAACACGGACCUCCUG
rnacentral:rRNA from 1 species